ACGCACGUGUGAAACUUGAAGGAAUUGACGGAAGGGCACCACAAGAACGCGUGGAGCAUGUGGCUUAAUUUGACCCAACGCGGGAAAUCUUACCGGGUCCGGACACACUGAGGAUUGACAGGCAAUAUUAAAUAUUUUGAUUCCUUCGGGAUGAUGGUAUUUAUGUUAAAUAUGCUAGUCCUUUCAUGAUUAUGUGAUAGGUGGUGCAUGGCCGUUCUUAGUUCGUGGAGUGAUCUGUCUGCUUAAUUGCGUUUCACUAAGGGCUUAUCUAAUUUUAACGUGUGUUGCUAUUGGUUGAACUUUGACCCCUUUAAUUAGUGCGUGUCUUAAUGUUCAUACCUUGGCACACACAAUUAAGUCCUGAAAGCAACGAACGUGACCG
rnacentral:rRNA from 1 species